rnacentral:rRNA from 1 species
GACGAACGCUAGCGGCAGGCCUAAUACAUGCAAGUCGAACGGUGUCUUCGGACAUAGUGGCGCACGGGUGCGUAACACGUAUGCAACCUACCUUACAUUGGGGGAUAGCCUUUCGAAAGGGAGAUUAAUACCGCAUAAGACAGUAGCUGGGCAUCCAGCAGCUGUUAAAGAUUUAUCGAUGUGAGCUGGGCAUGCGUCCAAUUAGCUAGUUGGUGAGGUAACGGCUCACCAAGGCAAUGAUUGGUAGGGGAACUGAGAGGUCAAUCCCCCACACUGGCACUGGGAUACGGGCCAGACUCCUACGGGAGGCAGCAGUAGGGAAUAUUGGGCGAUGGACGCAAGUCUGACCCAGCCAUGCCGCGUGCAGGAUGAAGGCGUUAUGCGUUGUAAACUGCUUUUAUACAGGAAGAAACGACUCUUGCGAGAGGCAUUGACGGUACUGUAUGAAUAAGCACCGGCUAACUACGUGCCAGCCGCCGCGGUAACAC